CCAUUAAAAUUUUGUUUUUCUUUGAUAAUUUAUAAUUAACCAAAUACAAAUUUCUGAACUUUAAUUGUUGUUAUUAAACGAUAUAACAAGCAUCAGGGUGACAUACGUGUAUUGAAAAACAAUUACAUGACUUGUAUAUUCAUGAUAUUAAUGUUCUUAGUUGGAAAAAUUAAUUGUCACAUUUCCUGUAAUAGUUGCCCCUGCGAACAUAUGCAUUGCUUUUCCAUUGUGAUUUUCAUGUACUAUUUCUGGCAUUUCAUUUAUUCCUGUAGUUGUUGUUGCUGAAACUGGUUUAGAAUUAGAUUCAAAAUUUGAAAUGUCUUUCAAUACAAAAGAAAGUUCGGCUUCUUGGGAAGCAGACAAAAGUUCUGCAUCAUCAUCUGAUGGUAUAUCAUUGUUGUUAUCAUCCAAAGGCCUUGGGUUUUUAUCCGAAGUUAUUUUCCCUGUACCAAUUUUACUCAAAAUAUUAGACAUUUCCUUCUGUUGUUCAAUUGAUGCUGAGCUAUAGGAGUUUAUGGAUUGAACAUUUUUAUGUCCACUCAGCUGCAUUAUGCGUGUAUCUGGUAUGUCCUCAUGUACCAAGGCAGUGAUAGUAGUUUUUCUGACACUAUGAUUAGUUUUUCUACCCUGAAUACCACCGUCUUCACACAUUUUUUUAACAAAGGAACUUAA
rnacentral:lncRNA from 1 species